UCGUCAGUGAGGUAUAUCCUUACCUGUUACUCCUCCGGGAGUAUCAGAUCAUGAUGAAUGGAGAGUUAUGAGAGAUGAUUAUAAUCUCUCUCUUAUGGAGAAAAGCAACACUCCAUAGGAGCCAUUCUGAU